UGUGCUGAGCACUCCCAGCCCAGGGCUGCUCACACCCUCCUGGCAGCUGCAUGCAAAUCCCUGGCCAGGGGCUCCUGCUUAAAUACAGCUUCUGGGCCGUGAAGCCUCAGUCCAUGCCCGGCCCCUUCUUGCCUUCUGGGAGUCCCCCUUGUUCUAGGGCAAUGGAAAUGAGCUACUUAUUUUUCUUCCUUUCUCUUGUCUCUUCUCUCCCAUGUGUGCUCUCUGCUGUGCAGCUGGUUGAGUCUGGCCCAGGGGUGGUGAAGCCUGCAGAGACCCUCACCCUGACCUGCACUGUCACAGGUUUCUCCAUCACCACCAAGGGUAACGCUUGGAGCUGGAUCCGGCAGCCUCCUGGGAAAGGGCUGGAGUGGAUGGCAAAGAUAGAUGGAAGCAGUGGUAGCACAUACUACAACCCAUCCCUCAAAAGCCGCAUCACCAUUUCCAAGGACAACUCCAAGAGCCAGUUCUCCCUGCAGCUGCGCUCUCUGACAGCCGCAGACACCGCCACGUAUUACUGUCUCCACCUGGGCAGCAAGAUCAGCCCAGCAUCCCCCAGGCACCAUGGGUCACAGCGCAUCAUCCGCACCCAUAACAACUUCCCCUUCCACAACCAAAACUGCCUCCAAAUUGUGGGCACAGCUCUGGGCACCAACAUGCCCCCAUGA